AUCAGGUAAGAAUACCCGCUGAACUUAAGCAUAUCAAUAAGCGGAGGAAAAGAAAAUAACAAUGAUUCCCUCAGUAACGGCGAGCGAAGAGGGAUAAGCUCAAAUUUUAAAUCUGUUGGGUUUCACCUAACAGAGUUGUAUUUUGAAGAAACGUUUUCUGCGCCCAGGAUUAGCCUAAAUCCUUUGGGAUAAGGUAUCAUGGAGGGUGAGAAUCCCGUUCAUGGUUAAUCUUAAGGAUGCUCUACGAUACGUUCUCCAAGAGUCGAGUUGUUUGGGAUUGCAGCUCAAAAUGGGAGGUAAAUUUCUCCUAAGGCUAAAUAUUGGCGAGAGACCGAUAGCGAACAAGUACCGUGAGGGAAAGAUGAAAAGAACUUUGAAAAGAGAGUUAAACAGUACGUGAAAUUGUUGAAAGGGAAACGAUUGAAGUCAGUCAUACCAACGGGAAAUCAACCUCUUGAGUUUGGUCUCGUGGGUUUCUAAGAGUUUAAAAGCCUUCGGAUUUGCGAGGAUGGGCUCUUCUGGUGUACUUUUUCGUACGGUUAGUCAACAUCGGUUUUGAAUGUCAUAAAAUGACUGGAGGAAUGUGGCUUCGAUCUCGUAUUGAAGUGUUAUAGCCUUUGGUAGAUGUGAUGUUCGAGACCGAGGAUUGCAACGGAUACCCUUCUGGGCUAUUCGUCUGAUCUCUGAAACGUUGCCUUGAUGUUGAAAGCUUGCUUAUGAUGUUAGGGUAUUACGGUCAAAAGGUUAGAACGGAUUAAAUUCGUUAAGGAUGUUGACGUAAUGACUUUAAACGACCCGUCUUGAAACACGGACCAAGGAGUCUAACAUGUGUGCGAGUGUU
rnacentral:rRNA from 1 species